UACAUAGGUCUCAAGCGUUGUUCGGAUUCAUUGGGCGUACAGGGUGCGUAGGUGGCGCGGUAAGUCUGGUGUGAAAUCUCGGAGCUCAACUCCGAAAUUGCACUGGAUACUGCUCUGCUAGAGGGCUGGAGAGGAGAUCGGAAUUCACGGUGUAGCAGUGAAAUGCGUAGAUAUCGUGAGGAAGACCAGUGGCGAAGGCGGAUCUCUGGACAGCUCCUGACGCUGAGGCGCGAAGGCUAGGGGAGCAAACGGG
rnacentral:rRNA from 1 species